GACGAACGCUGGCGGCGUGCCUAAUACAUGCAAGUCGAACGCUUUUUCUUUCACCGGAGCUUGCUCCACCGAAAGAAAAAGAGUGGCGAACGGGUGAGUAACACGUGGGUAACCUGCCCAUCAGAAGGGGAUAACACUUGGAAACAGGUGCUAAUACCGUAUAACAAGUAAAACCGCAUGGUUUUACUUUGAAAGGCGCUUUUGCGUCACUGAUGGAUGGACCCGCGGUGCAUUAGCUAGUUGGUGAGGUAACGGCUCACCAAGGCAACGAUGCAUAGCCGACCUGAGAGGGUGAUCGGCCACAUUGGGACUGAGACACGGCCCAAACUCCUACGGGAGGCAGCAGUAGGGAAUCUUCGGCAAUGGACGAAAGUCUGACCGAGCAACGCCGCGUGAGUGAAGAAGGUUUUCGGAUCGUAAAACUCUGUUGUUAGAGAAGAACAAGGAUGAGAGUAAAAUGUUCAUCCCUUGACGGUAUCUAACCAGAAAGCCACGGCUAACUACGUGCCAGCAGCCGCGGUAAU
rnacentral:rRNA from 1 species